rnacentral:lncRNA from 1 species
AAAAACAAGUCUUGUUUCUUCUUUCUAUUUUUACAAAGAUGAACAGUAAUCUUAACCGGAGGUUCCUUUUAUCAAAUUAUCUCAAUUAAAGUAAGAUGUAGGAAAACUUUAAAGAAUGCGACCUUCUAUGAUCUCGUAUGAGAAAUUAAGGUAUGUUAAUGCUAAGCUUUUCCUUCAUUUUGGCAUGAUCUCGUCAUUACACAAAUUUGGUAACGAGGCAUAAAGAAAAAUUCAUAUCCCAAAAUUUACGUAUAUUUUGUUGUCUCGCAAGUUAAGUAUAUUUUUCUAGUUUUGUAAGUUACAAUAUUCUCCUUAUCGGGACUUCAUAUUCAAUUGAGUAUUUUACUUUUCCAAUCAAGAGAGCAGAGAGUUUAUAUAUACAAUAUUAAAAGUAUUUUCAUUACCAUCGAGCUAUAAUUGAUGGGCAGGCCCCUAUUGGACAACCUCUGAUCAGAUGGUAAGUUAUAUACCGAGCCUACUGUGGCCAAGCGCCUAUGAGCUAACCCAGCAUGGUCGAGAUACAGAGCCUAUUAUGGCCGAGCGCUUAUGAGCGAGCCUACUACGGCAGAG